rnacentral:lncRNA from 13 species
CCUCAUUCACACACUCCACGGUCCUCUCCAUCCACACAUCACACUCUCCAAUCUUCCCUGUUCACAAACCCCAUUCCUGAGUCCUCCCUGUCCAUGCAAUAGACUUCCCAAUCAACUUUAUCCACACACCACACUCUCCAGCCCUCACCCUGCAUGCACCACACUUCUCAUCCUCCUUCUUUACACACCAUGCCUCCUAAAGCUCCCAAUCCACACACCAACUCCCCAUGUCUUCCCAUCAUCCAGGCACCAUACUAUCCAAUUCUCACCCUCUGCACAACACACUCCAGUGUCUUCCCCACCCAUGCACCAUGUUUCUCAAUCUUCCCCAUUCACACAACAUAUUCCUCAGUUCUCUCUGUCUGAGCAAUAGGUUCCACAGUCCACCCUAUCUACACACCAUAUUCCUCAGUUCCCACAUCCACAGAAUCAUAUACCUGAGUCCUCCCCAUCUUUACACACAUUCCUUGGUCCUCCCCAUUCAUGCACCACACUCCCCAAUCUUCCCCAUUAAUGUACCACACUCCUCAGUCCUCUCCAUCUUUAUACCACAUUCCUCAGUCCUCCCCAUCCUUAUAUCACACUCCUCAGUCCUCCUCAUCCUUGUACCACACUCAGCCCUCCCCAUUCAUGCAACAUACACCUCCGUUCUCUCCAUUCAUGCACCACACUCCUUAGUCCUCCCCAUUCAUGCACCACACACCUCAGUCCUCCCCAUUCACACACCACACUCCUCAGUCCACCCCAUUCAUGCACCACACUCCCUAAUCCUCCCCAUUCAUCCACCGUGCACCUCAGUCCUCUCCAUUCAUGCACUACACUCUUCAUUCCUCCCCAUUCAUGCACUACACUCCUCAGUCCUCCUCAUUUAUGCAUUAUACUUUCUGGGCCUCCCCAUUUAUGUACUAUACUCCCUGGUCCUCCCCAUUCAUACACUACACUCCUCAGUGCUCCCCAUUUAUGCACCACACUCGCCAGUCUUCCCUAUCCAUAUAGCACACUUUCUGGUUUUCCCCAUUCACAUACAAUAUUCCCCGGUCCUCUCCAUCCACCCAAUAUGCAUCCACACACCACAUUAUAUCCUCCUUUCCACCUCUUCAUAAUCACAUAGACUAUUCCAGCUAAAAAGGAACUUG